GUGCUCACUUCAACACACGUAUACUAAAUUUGGAAUGAUACAGAGAACAUUAGCAUGGCCCCUGCAUGAGGGUGACAUGCAAAUUUGUGAAGCAUAUGUAUUUUUG
ensembl:snRNA U6 U6 spliceosomal RNA